AUUGAACGCUGGCGGCAGGCUUAACACAUGCAAGUCGAACGAAGGCUUCGGCCUUAGUGGCGCACGGGUGCGUAACGCGUGGGAAUCUGCCCUUGGGUUCGGAAUAACAGUGAGAAAUUACUGCUAAUACCGGAUGAUGUCGAAAGACCAAAGAUUUAUCGCCCAGGGAUGAGCCCGCGUUGGAUUAGCUAGUUGGUGAGGUAAAGGCUCACCAAGGCGACGAUCCAUAGCUGGUCUGAGAGGAUGAUCAGCCACACUGGGACUGAGACACGGCCCAGACUCCUACGGGAGGCAGCAGUGGGGAAUAUUGGACAAUGGGCGAAAGCCUGAUCCAGCAAUGCCGCGUGAGUGAUGAAGGCCUUAGGGUUGUAAAGCUCUUUUACCCGGGAUGAUAAUGACAGUACCGGGAGAAUAAGCCCCGGCUAACUCCGUGCCAGCCGCCGCCGUAA
rnacentral:rRNA from 1 species